CCUACGGGAGGCAGCAGUGAGGAAUAUUGCUCAAUGGGCGGAAGCCUGAACCAGCCAAGCAGCGUGCAGGAUGACGGCCCUACGGUUUGUAAACUGCUUUUAUACGGGCAUAACGCGCCUUACUUGUAGGGCUUUGCAUGUCCCGUAUGCAUAAGGACCGGCUCAUUCCGUGCCAGCAGCCGCGGUAAUACGGAAGGUGCGGGCGUUAGCCGGAUUUAUUGGGGUUAACGGGAGCGUAGGGCGCAUGUCAAGCUGGCUGUGAAAUGUCCGGGCUCAACCCGGGCCUUGCAGUGGGAACUGGCGUGCGUGAGUCUGGGGAAGGCAGGUGGAAUUCGUGGUGUAGCGGUGAAAUGCUUAGAUAUCACGCAGAACACCGAUUGCGAAGGCAGCCUGCCAAGCCAUGACUGACGCUGAUGCACGAAAGCGUGGGGAGCAAACAGGAUUAGAUACCCCAGUAGUC
rnacentral:rRNA from 1 species